UACGUAGGGAGCAAGCGUUGUCCGGAAUCAUUGGGCGUAAAGCGCGCGUAGGCGGCCCGAUAAGUCCGCUGUAAAAGUCAACGGCUCAACUGUUGAAAGCCGGUGGAUACUGUCGGGCUAGAGUACGGAAGAGGCAAGUGGAAUUCCAGGUGUAGCGGUGAAAUGCGUAGAUAUCUGGAGGAACACCGGUGGCGAAGGCGGCAUCCUGGACCGGUAUUGACGCUGAGGCGCGAAAGCCAGGGGAGCAAACGGG
rnacentral:rRNA from 1 species